AUAUCAAUAAGCGGAGGAAAAGAAACCAACAGGGAUUGCCCCAGUAACGGCGAGUGAAGCGGCAACAGCUCAAAUUUGAAAUCUGGCCCCCAGGGCCCGAGUUGUAAUUUGCAGAGGAUGCUUUUGGUGAGGCACCUACCGAGUCCCCUGGAAUGGGGCGCCACAGAGGGUGAGAGCCCCGUAUGGUAGGACGCCGAACCUCUGUAAAGCUCCUUCGACGAGUCGAGUAGUUUGGGAAUGCUGCUCUAAAUGGGAGGUAAAUUUCUUCUAAAGCUAAAUACCGGCCAGAGACCGAUAGCGCACAAGUAGAGUGAUCGAAAGAUGAAAAGCACUUUGAAAAGAGGGUUAAAAAGUACGUGAAAUUGUUGAAAGGGAAGCGCUUGUGACCAGACUUGCGCCUGGCGGAUCAUCCAGCGUUCUCGCUGGUGCACUCCGCCAGGCUCAGGCCAGCAUCGGUUCUCGCCGGGGGACAAAGGCUUCGGGAACGUGGCUCCUUUCGGGGAGUGUUAUAGCCCGUUGCGUAAUACCCCGGCGGGGACCGACGACCGCGCUUCGGCAAGGAUGCUGGCGUAAUGGUCAUCAGCGACCCGUCUUGAAACACGGACCGAGGAGUCAAGCAUUAGUGCGAGUGUUUGGGUGUAAAACCCGCACGCGUAAUGAAAGUGAACGUAGGUGAGAGCUUCGGCGCAUCAUCGACCGAUCCUGAUGUUUUCGGAAGGAUUUGAGUAGGAGCAUUAACGCUUGGACCCGAAAGAUGGUGAACUAUACUUGAAUAGGGUGAAGCCAGAGGAAACUCUGGUGGAGGCUCGCAGCGGUUCUGACGUGCAAAUCGAUCGUCAAAUUUGAGUAUAGGGGCGAAAGACUAAUCGAACCAUCUAGUAGCUGGUUUCAGC
rnacentral:rRNA from 1 species